CUUCUAUGAUGAUUAAUAUUACGUGCCAGCUUGUCUGGGCCACGGUGACCAGAUACUUGAUCUGGCUGUUUUCUCCAAAAG